rnacentral:rRNA from 1 species
UACAGAGGUCCCGAGCGUUGUUCGGAUUCACUGGGCGUAAAGGGUGCGUAGGUGGUGAGGUAAGUCGGAUGUGAAGUCUCCAAGCUCAACUUGGAAACUGCAUUGGAAACUACCUUGCUAGAGGAUUUGAGGGGGGAUUGGAAUACUUGGUGUAGCAGUGAAAUGCGUAGAUAUCAAGUGGAACACCAGUGGCGAAGGCGAAUCCCUGGACAACUCCUGACACUGAGGCACGAAAGCUAGGGGAGCAAACAGG